GCCUUCGUGGUGUAACGGUAGCACACUUGGCUAAUAUUCUAGAGGUCCAGGUUCGACUCCCGGCGAGGGCA